ACAGCAGUAGCCACGGUAAUACAGAGGGUGCGAGCGUUAAUCGGAUUUACUGGGCGUAAAGCGUGCGUAGGCGGCUAAUUGAGUCGGAUGUGAAAUCCCCGAGCUUAACUUGGGAAUUGCAUUCGAUACUGGUUAGCUAGAGUGUGGGAGAGGAUGGUAGAAUUCCAGGUGUAGCGGUGAAAUGCGUAGAGAUCUGGAGGAAUACCGGUGGCGAAGGCGGCCCCCUGGACAAAGACUGACGCUCAGGUGCGAAAGCGUGGGGAGCAAACAGGAUUAGAUACCCCUGUAGUCCCUGUCUCUUAUAC
rnacentral:rRNA from 1 species